GCCGGGUGUCGUGGUGGGCGCCUGUAAUCCCAGCUACUCAGGAGGCUGAGGCUGGAGAAUCGCUUGAACUCUGGGGCGGAGGUUGCAGUGAGCCGAGUUUGCACCACUGCACCCCAGCCUGGACGAGAGUGAGACUCUGUCUCAAACAAACAAAAAAGUCCUUUUAGUCAUAGGAAUAGCUAUAUAUAAUUUAUUUUUUUGAGAUGAAGUUUUGCUCUUGUUGCCCAGGCUGGAGUGCAAUGACGCAGUCUCGACUCACCGCAACCUCUGCCUCCCGGGUUCAAGCGAUUCUCCUGC
rnacentral:lncRNA from 1 species